rnacentral:rRNA from 1 species
ACGAAGGGGGCUAGCGUUGCUCGGAAUGACUGGGCGUAAAGGGCGCGUAGGCGGCUCGUUUUGUCAGGCGUGAAAGUCCUGGGCUUAACCUGGGGAUUGCGUUUGGGACGGAUGGGCUUGAGUGGGGAAGAGGGUCGUGGAAUUCCCAGUGUAGAGGUGAAAUUCGUAGAUAUUGGGAAGAACACCGGUGGCGAAGGCGGCGACCUGGUCCUUGACUGACGCUGAGGCGCGAGAGCGUGGGGAGCAAACAGGAUUAGAUACCCUGGUAGUCCACGCUGUAAACGAUGUGCGCUGGAUGUUGGGCAGCCUAGCUGCUUAGUGUCGUAGCUAACGCGGUAAGCGCACCGCCUGGGGAGUACGGCCGCAAGGUUG